UACGAAGGGUGCAAACGUUGCUCGGAAUUAUUGGGCGUAAAGCGCACGUAAGCGGCUUUUCAAGUCGGAUGUGUAAUCCCUCGGCUUAACCAAGGAAGUGCAUCCGAAACUGGAGAGCUUGAGUACUUAAGAGGAUCGCGGAAUUCCCGGUGUAGAGGUGAAAUUCGUAGAUAUCGGGAGGAACACCAGUGGCGAAGGCGGCGAUCUGGGAAGAUACUGACGCUGAGGUGCGAAAGCGUGGGGAGCAAACAGG
rnacentral:rRNA from 1 species